UUGUGGACCCUAGUCUUGUGGAUCACUUGCAACUGUAUGCUUAACAUUUUUCUCUCUUCUGCUCUCAGCCUCCCCUCUCCCUCUCAGCCGAUGAAACCAGAUGAGUUUCUGCUCUCCUCUCUUCUCUUCCUCUCAGCCUAUGAACCAGAUCGAGUUUGAUGAAUCAGUUUCCAUUCAGUUUCUCAUCAUCUAUAAUAGGAUUUUUAGGGCUUCAUAAAUCGAUUUUAGGGUUUCAGUCUGUAUAAUGAUUCAUUUUUUCGAUUUUAGUUUGUUCGUCGGAGUUCGAACUUGGAAGAACUGAUCUUCACUCUUAGCUAAUCGUGAGAAAGCAGCUGUUCUACUUUGUUUAAUUUAGAUUUAUUUUCAGAUGCAGAUGGGAAUGAAGUUGAUAAGUUGACUGAGAAGCUACAAGGGGUUGGGAUUGCUUCUGCUAGUGCUGAUGGAGCCGUCCUUAACAACUUCUAAAGCCGUGAACAGGGGCGGAGAUUAUAGCCGUGAAAAUCAGUCUGGGUCUGAUAUUGCUUCCAUUUGAAUUGAGAAUUAAACUUCAAACGCAGGUUAUAUCAUUUUUCUUAUAUCUUGAGAAAUUUUAGCAUCAUCUAUGUUCGCAAGUCUGUUGGUAAUUGGUUGUGGACAAGGUGUUUGUGACUUUGCCGCAAACAAGGGGUAUGCAAUUAGAAAAUCUGAUACAUGAGUACUAUUUUGAUUCGUAUUUUGAUUAUUGAUCUCGUCUAAAUAACUAAUUAUUGCUAUUGUGAUACUUUUGUUGGUUAUGAUAUAUAAUUUGGAAAUGUAUUUGUUUGAUGUAUGUUAAUCUUGUUGGUUAUGGUAUACUGAUACGUGCUUCUGAUUUAAGUUGCCGACAUGGAGAUGGUCAGCUGCACUAGCAAGUCAAUAGUUAGUUCUUCGUUAUUGCUAUUUGGCUCAAGUUAAUAUAUUCAUUAUGUAUGAAUAUCUUUGUAGCACUUUUGUAAUAUCAGAUCUUUAAUUUGAAUGCAACUGCUUGAUUUGGGUUGUCGAUUAUCCCACCAACAUGAUACAGUAGUUUACUAAUACAUUUUAUGCAAGGUUAUGAGCUAGGAAAUCCAUUUUAAUUAAUUCCAAAUAAGAAGGUUGUAGUGUGAACAUACAGUUGUAGUGGAUGGUUAACAUUUAUUAGUGGACAUGGCACAUGAAUUUCUUUAUAAACAUAUGAAUUGAUCUAGUGGAUUAUGUUCUAGUACAAGAGUUUUAGUGUAAUACCGAGACAUACUAUUUAUUUUAUAUAGUCGUCGUCCGGCUAGGAUUAUUGGUGUUCUAUCAACAAAUACAGAAUUAAAGAAUUAGCAUUUUGUAUGCUUUGAGUUUGUUGUAAUAAGGGUGUUACCAGGUGGAAUCAAGAUUUCCCAUGUGUCUACUUUAUAACUAUUCAUAUGCAUGGCUAGAAAUGAUAAAAUCUUGUUGCUAUGAAUACAAUCAUGGUUUGGUGAGACUGUCAGUACUAGUAGAUAAUGUUGGUUGUACAUUGUGUAGGAGUAUUCAAUAUUGAAUGAAUGAAUUCUAAUGCGUCGAAUCUCAGGGACUAGAAUUUGUUCUUAAGAUUUGUUUGAGAAAGUGACUUCCUUGACUAAUAAAAUUUAGGUUCGUUUACGGGACACUGUGAAACUAUGAAUAAAGUACAUUUUAAAUUUGCCAACACUUCGUUAGUAAAGAUACAAAGAAAUAUUUCUUCCUUGCAAUUCUGACCGGAGAUUAAACUUAAUGAAGACAUGUUCUGUGUAGUAACGAUGGUGGGUUGUUUAAUGCAGUUAAAAUUGAUGAUUUAGAAUGUUGAGAGUCUUUUGAGAAACCCAAGUUUGUUAUAUCAACUUGCUGUUUAUGAUAAACUUUGUUCUCUUUAUAUUGCUGCUGCUAUUGGUAAGAUCCGCGUAAAAGACACUAAUUAUUACAUUAUACUUACUCUGAGCAUAAUAUGUUUCUCGUUUUAAGCAGGUAAAUGAUACUGUGGGAACAUUAGCCCUUGGACAUUUUCAUGACAAAGACACUCUAGCAGCAGUGAUAAUUGGAACUGGUGCUAAUGCUUCGUAUGUGGAGCGAACAGAUGCAAUAAUCAAGACUCAGGGCCUUCUUACAAAUUCAGGAGGCAUGGACCAAAGAUAGUGCCAACUUAUGAAGCUUCAUCUUACCUAAUUGCAGUUAACUAGUAAUUUAUCAGGAAUGUGGUGAAUCCGAUGACAUGGGGGCCGAGAUAUUAAUUCCCUGCAAAAUGUGUAAACCACCUGCCAAACACCCGAUUGCCUACAUCGAGUUUUCUAAUGCCCAAGCUUUCAACAAAGCAAGCCUGCAAAGGAUAUAAUGAACUAGCUGUUGUUAUUUGAAUGAUGCUCUAUUUCAUCAGAAAGGGUGGAGAACAAAGGAGCUUCAAGAUUUUGUAAGUUCCAUGUAUUUAAGUUUUGUAGGCAGUUAGUAAGUUUGUAUUUGUUCCCUUAGAAAUUUGGAACCUUCCAUGUAUUCCUUUAGAAAUUUGAUACUUGACAAAAAACAAAAAGUUUGGUACAUAGAGAAAUUUCAGUUCUUUUGUUAUAUGAACCUGAGAUGAAUUGAAUGAAUGUGAUUAUCAAUUGAAUGAAGAAAUUGUUGUUGAGUGGGGUUAUGAAUGUAUUGAAAGGUGUAUGCAGGGUAUUGAAUUUAGAA